AGAGUUUGAUCCUGGCUCAGAUUGAACGCUGGCGGAAUGCUUUACACAUGCAAGUCGAACGGCAGCAUAGAGAGCUUGCUCUCUGAUGGCGAGUGGCGAACGGGUGAGUAACAUAUCGGAACGUGCCUAGUAAUGGGGAACAACUAAUCGAAAGAUUAGCUAAUACCGCAUACGACCUACGGGUGAAAGCAGGGGAUCUUCGGACCUUGCGUUAUUAGAGCGGCCGAUAUCUGAUUAGCUUGUUGGUAGGGUAAAAGCCUACCAAGGCGACGAUCAGUAGCUGGUCUGAGAGGACGAUCAGCCACACUGGAACUGAGACACGGUCCAGACUCCUACGGGAGGCAGCAGUGGGGAAUUUUGGACAAUGGGGGCAACCCUGAUCCAGCCAUUCCGCGUGAGUGAAGAAGGCCUUCGGGUUGUAAAGCUCUUUCGCAAGAGAAGAAAGCUUGCUAUUUAAUAAAUAGUAAGUAUGACGGUAUCUUGACAAGAAGCACCGGCUAACUAUGUGCCAGCAGCCGCGGUAAUACAUAGGGUGCAAGCGUUAAUCGGAAUUACUGGGCGUAAAGCGUUCGCAGGCGGUCUUAUAAGUCAGAUGUGAAAUCCCCGAGCUCAACUUGGGAACUGCGUUUGAAACUGUAAGACUAGAGUGUGUCAGAGGGGGGUAGAAUUCCAUGUGUAGCAGUGAAAUGCGUAGAUAUGUGGAGGAAUACCAAUGGCGAAGGCAGCCCCCUGGGAUAACACU
rnacentral:rRNA from 1 species